rnacentral:rRNA from 1 species
GGAAGGUCCCCCACAUUGGAACUGAGACACGGUCCAAACUCCUACGGGAGGCAGCAGUGAGGAAUAUUGGUCAAUGGGCGAGAGCCUGAACCAGCCAAGUAGCGUGAAGGAUGAAGGUCCUACGGAUUGUAAACUUCUUUUAUACGGGAAUAAAGUUUCCUACGUGUAGGAUUUUGUAUGUACCGUAUGAAUAAGCAUCGGCUAACUCCGUGCCAGCAGCCGCGGUAAUACGGAGGAUGCGAGCGUUAUCCGGAUUUAUUGGGUUUAAAGGGUGCGUAGGCGGCACGCCAAGUCAGCGGUGAAAUUUCCGGGCUCAACCCGGACUGUGCCGUUGAAACUGGCGAGCUAGAGUGCACAAGAGGCAGGCGGAAUGCGUGGUGUAGCGGUGAAAUGCAUAGAUAUCACGCAGAACCCCGAUUGCGAAGGCAGCCUGCUAGGGUGCGACAGACGCUGAGGCACGAAAGCGUGGGUAUCGAACAGGAUUAGAUACCCUGGUAGUCCACGCAGUAAACGAUGAAUACUAACUGUUUGCGAUACAAUGUAAGCGGUACAGCGAAAGCGUUAAGUAUUCCACCUGGGGAGUACGCCGGCAACGGUGAAACUCAAAGGAAUUGACGGGGGCCCGCACAAGCGGAGGAACAUGUGGUUUAAUUCGAUGAUACGCGAGGAACCUUACCCGGGCUCAAACGCAGGGGGAAUAUAUAUGAAAGUAUAUAGCUAGCAAUAGUCACCUGCGAGGUGCUGCAUGGUUGUCGUCAGCUCGUGCCGUGAGGUGUCGGCUUAAGUGCCAUAACGAGCGCAACCCCUAUGGACAGUUACUAACGGGUGAAGCCGAGGACUCUGUCUAGACUGCCGGCGCAAGCCGCGAGGAAGGUGGGGAUGACGUCAAAUCAGCACGGCCCUUACGUCCGGGGCGACACACGUGUUACAAUGGCAGGUACAGAAGGCAGCCAGUCAGCAAUGACGCGCGAAUCCCGAAAACCUGUCUCAGUUCGGAUUGGAGUCUGCAACCCGACUCCAUGAAGCUGGAUUCGCUAGUAAUCGCGCAUCAGCCAUGGCGCGGUGAAUACGUUCCCGGGCCUUGUACACACCGCCCGUCAAGCCAUGGAAGCCGGGAGUACCUGAAGCAUGCAACCGCAAGGAGCGUACGAAGGUAAUACCGGUAACUGGGGCUAAGUCGUAACAAGGUAGCCGUACCGGAAGGUGCGGCUG